CCUACGGGAGGCAGCAGUGGGGAAUAUUGCACAAUGGGGGAAACCCUGAUGCAGCGACGCCGCGUGAGUGAAGAAGUAUUUCGGUACGUAAAGCUCUAUCAGCAGGGAAGAAAAUGACGGUACCUGACUAAGAAGCCCCGGCUAACUACGUGCCAGCAGCCGCGGUAAUACGUAGGGGGCAAGCGUUAUCCGGAUUUACUGGGUGUAAAGGGAGCGUAGACGGCAGCGCAAGUCUGGAGUGAAAUCCCAUGGCUUAACCAUGGAACUGCUUUGGAAACUGUGCAGCUAGAGUGCAGGAGAGGUAAGCGGAAUUCCUAGUGUAGCGGUGAAAUGCGUAGAUAUUAGGAGGAACACCAGUGGCGAAGGCGGCUUACUGGACUGUAACUGACGUUGAGGCUUGAAAGCGUGGGGAGCAAACAGGAUUAGAUACCCCAGUAGUC
rnacentral:rRNA from 1 species